UGGGGAAUCUUGCACAAUGGGGGCAACCCUGAUGCAGCGACGCCGCGUGAGCGAUGAAGCCCUUCGGGGCGUAAAGCUCUUUCGACCGGAACGAUAAUGACGGUACCGGGAGAAGAAGCUGUGGCUAACUACGUGCCAGCAGCCGCGGUAAUACGUAGGCAGCAAGCGUUGUUCGGAGUUACUGGGCGUGAAGAGUGCGUAGGCGGUUUUCUAAGUUCGGUGUGAAAUCUCCCGGCUUAACUGGGAGGGUGGGCCGAAGACUGGGAAGCUGGAGUGUGGGAAAGGCAGGCGGAAUUCCUGGUGUAGCGGUGAAAUGCGUAGAUAUCAGGAGGAACACCGGCGGUGUAGACGGCUUGCUAGACCAUAACUGACGCUGAGGCACGAAAGCGUGGGUAGCAAACA
rnacentral:rRNA from 1 species